CCUGCUUCAAGCACUGGUAUCUGGUGCAUAUUUUUGCCCUCGAAACCUGCACAACCCCUGGGAUGAUUUGAAUUUUGUAGCAAACACUGAGCACAGUUCCCCACAUUGUCUGAUAGGUUGUGGACCUACUUCAAAUUAACAGAGAAUAAAUACUGUAACAGUCCCUCAAACCCAAUGUUUGCAGCCAAUGUCCCAGUCUCUGAUAUAAGUGUCAGGUAGCUUUGCAGGGCUGUCACUCAUCCUGUGGCUAGCCUGACAAACAGAACAUCACUGUGCCUCUAGGAAUAACUAAACAGCACAGGCUUGGUGGCUCUAUUCCAAAUUUGCCAUCCUUUGUAAAACUAUGUAUGAAGUGUCCCACUUUCUGGGCCUUCUGGUCUACCUGCAAAGCCUCACUUACAAAGUAUGCUGCUAAAUGCUAAUUCUUAUGGCAGAUGGUCAAGGACAUCUUUUAGGAGAAGGGAAGAUACAUUGGUGGCCAGGGAUUGCAUGUCAUUUCUGGCACAGAUGUAUUGCUAGUUGCAAAUCCCUGCUUCAUAUGCAUUAAAAUGCUAUGUGUAGAUUUCAAGGCAGAGUAGUGUUUCUUAAAGUCAGUUCUGUAUAAAAGUAAUAGACAUCAUAUGAAAAUAGGAUUUUUUGAUCAAAUAUAUUUAGCAGAUCAACUUCUCAGACUCUUUAAUAUACAACUGUAUACUGCAAACGCCCAACAAGAGGAUAUUUACAAUAUUAACAAUACACCUUGCCACUGAUCCCUCCUGUGGCUGCUGCCAGGUGAAACAACUUUGAGAAAUGUUGUGGCAAUGUACACCUCUUGUUACAAUAUAUUUUUCUGUUUUUCUGACCAUUGUGAUUUGAGGUUACAGAAAAUACUAGCUUGUCAAAGCUAAGUGACAGAGAAAAACGCAAUUUGAAAUCACUACCAAGGUAGCAACUCAGUAUUUCUCUAAGUUUCUGAUACUAAGAAAUCAAUGGCUGGAUUAUUGUCAGUGUUCAUUCAGAGCUGAGCUUUUCUGGCUUCAUUAUUGUUUGUCCGUAGAUCAAGUUGUUUUAUUUAUACUUUCUUUUUUUGAAACAUAACAGACUCCAUAUUCUAAAAGAUAGUGGUUAUCAUGUAAAGCACCUCAGGGUCUUUUCAGAUGAAAAAAAUAAUUGCCACUUCAUUAUUAAAUCAAUCCAUCCACCCUUUACUUGUACCUACUAUGUUCUGGCCCCUAAAGAACACAAACUUGAAUGGGACAAAGUACCUAUUCCUUUAGUAAUCUUCUGUGCCACCCCUGCCUGGUACCUUCAGCCAUUUAUGUUCUAGAAAAUGUUACAAUAACACAUUUGUAGGUAAAAGGACUCAUCUGGAGAUGAGCAAAUGAACUUCUUAGAAAAGGUGGCAUUUUGAAAGAUCCAAAAUAAAGACCACUGGAAGCAAUCUCAAGACAAGCUAUUCAAUAAAUGUGUGAGGAUCCAGGCUUGGAAAUGAUACCAUAGAGGAUAAAGGAGGCAACUUCCACCAAUAGCUCAGAAGAAGUAACUCUGGUCAUCCUUAGCCUCUUUGUUCACAGUAAAGACUGCAUCUUUUGUAUUUCCAGUUCCCACUGUUGGAAAUUGUCAAACCAGAGUUUCAUUAUGAUCUUAGCCCUUAAACAGCACAGUUCAUCCAAUGAUGACAGGAUUUAUAAACAGAAAUUAGGCCUUGGACCAAGCUUGUAAUAAAUUAUAAGCUUCAUUACAUAGGUGAGGAAAAAUGACCAGCUAUUGAAUGACAGAUUUGCCAUGGAGCAAGAGGAUAGCUCUUUGCAGCCACUUCAGAAAGUGUGCAGUGUGCAUUCUGACUGACUCACAGGGUGACUGUGUUUGGGGAAAGCUGCACAGAAGGAGGAUAAUAAAAGGCAAACGAUAAGGCAGACAAGUAGGGGUGAGCAUUCCUUCCAUCCACUACUCCAUCAAAUCAUUUGGACCUCCAGAGAAAUGUUAGCAUGAUGUGAUGCUUAUAAAUAUGAAAGGAAAUGAUGAAAUUAUUUGUUUAUUCAAGCCUAAUUAAGAUCCAUGUAGAAAAUUGGAGUUUGUACUCUUAUUGAAAUGAACAAGAGGCCUAUUAAUAGUAUUAGGAUGUGACCUCACUGUGGUUAAAAAUAUCUGAGUUGCUUGUAUAUAAAAUAUCAGGUAAGCCAUUUGCAUUAGUGUGGGCAACAAGAAAAAGAAGAAAGAAGAGGAAAUGAGAACACAGCAGUAAUAAUAGACUUGGAUUACCACCAAUGCUUUUGAAAGAGCUCAGAGAACUUCAGAUUCAAUACAAGUGCCUCUGCCAAGGACUCACAGGGCUUAUCCAUGAGCAGCUUGCUACCAUGUCCAGAGGAACAUCUCUAAGAUCUGCCCUUUCCCUUGGUCCUCCAUGCCAAAAUCUGUCCUGUCCUCACCUCUUAAUACUAUAGCCAUCCUUGUGUGGCCAGGAAGCUUCAUUUGGCAUCUCUGUAUACUGCUGCCAUGUUAUAAUCUACCUCACUUGAUUUUGCCUCUCUUAUGCACGCAUUCAUGUUUUUCUCCAUCUGUAACUGAGAACACUACAGAUUAUUAAUAAGAUGACCUUGUUGAGCCUAAACAAAGGAUCUUAGCUGUGUUCUUGUUUCUUUGGAGACCUG
rnacentral:lncRNA from 1 species